rnacentral:misc_RNA from 1 species
UAAAAAUCCUUAACCAAUUAGAGUUAGACAAAUACAUUUAAAAAGGAUAAAAGAAAUUGAAAGAGACCAAAAUUUGGUCAUCUUCUUCCAUUUAUCCAAAGUUAGCCGAACCACCUUCAUGGUUGUCCACCAUAGCUAUUCUUUGCAAGCUUUUAUUCACAUGCUUCCUCACCAUAUUAGCUCAAGAUCCCAACACUAAAAUGAAUCCUUGG